AUGGUUAAGUUAGAAAGGGCGCACGGUGGAUGCCUUGGCACUAGGAGCCGAUGAAGGACGGGACGAACACCGAUAUGCUUCGGGGAGCUGUAAGCAAGCUUUGAUCCGGAGAUUUCCGAAUGGGGAAACCCACUGCUCGUAAUGGAGUAGUAUCCAUACUUGAAUACAUAGAGUAUGAGAAGGCAUACCCGGGGAACUGAAACAUCUAAGUACCCGGAGGAAGAGAAAGCAAAUGCGAUUCCCUGAGUAGCGGCGAGCGAAACGGGAACAGCCCAAACCAAGAGGCUUGCCUCUUGGGGUUGUAGGACACUCUAUACGGAGUUACAAAGGAACGAUAUAAGCGAAGAGGUCUGGAAAGGCCCGCCAAAGAAGGUAACAGCCCUGUAACUGAAAUGUUGUUCUCUCCAGAGUGGAUCCUGAGUACGGCGGAACACGUGAAAUUCCGUCGGAAUCCGGGAGGACCAUCUCCCAAGGCUAAAUACUCCCUAGUGACCGAUAGUGAACCAGUACCGUGAGGGAAAGGUGAAAAGCACCCCGGAAGGGGAGUGAAAUAGAUCCUGAAACCGUGUGCCUACAAGUAGUCAGAGCCCGUUAAAGGGUGAUGGCGUGCCUUUUGUAGAAUGAACCGGCGAGUUACGAUCCCGUGCAAGGU
rnacentral:rRNA from 1 species